ACGAACGCUGGCGGCAUGCCUAACACAUGCAAGUCGAACGAGACCUUCGGGUCUAGUGGCGCACGGGUGCGUAACGCGUGGGAACCUGCCCUUAGGUUCGGAAUAACUCCCCGAAAGGGGUGCUAAUACCGGAUAAUGUCUUCGGACCAAAGAUUUAUCGCCUUUGGAUGGGCCCGCGUUGGAUUAGCUAGUUGGUAGGGUAAAAGCCUACCAAGGCGACGAUCCAUAGCUGGUCUGAGAGGAUGAUCAGCCACACUGGGACUGAGACACGGCCCAGACUCCUACGGGAGGCAGCAGUGGGGAAUAGUGGACAAUGGGCGAAAGCCUGAUCCAGCAAUGCCGCGUGAGUGAUGAAGGCCUUAGGGUUGUAAAGCUCUUUUACCCGGGAUGAUAAUGACAGUACCGGGAGAAUAAGCGCAGGCUAACUCCGUG
rnacentral:rRNA from 1 species